rnacentral:miRNA from 1 species
UAUUAAAAAUGAGAUUGAGAAAAAGAGAGGAAAAAAAAAAGGAGUUUUCAAAUAAUGGUAAACGUACACGGUCAUACUCUCUCUCUCUCUCUCUCUCUCUCUCUCUCUCUCUCUCUCU